rnacentral:siRNA from 1 species
CAUUAGUUUUCGGAGUAGUCAA